UGUCUCCUCCAUCUCCUCAAAAGGAUGGAUUAAGCCCCAGGCCUCCGGCCCGGGGCUUUUUUU
rnacentral:ncRNA from 1 species